rnacentral:rRNA from 1 species
GUGGGGAAUUUUGGACAAUGGGCGAAAGCCUGAUCCAGCAAUGCCGCGUGCAGGAUGAAGGCCCUCGGGUUGUAAACUGCUUUUGUACGGAACGAAAAGCCUGGGGCUAAUAUCCCCGGGUCAUGACGGUACCGUAAGAAUAAGCACCGGCUAACUACGUGCCAGCAGCCGCGGUAAUACGUAGGGUGCAAGCGUUAAUCGGAAUUACUGGGCGUAAAGCGUACGCAGGCGGUUUUGUAAGACAGUGGUGAAAUCCCCGGGCUCAACCUGGGAACUGCCAUUGUGACUGCAAGGCUAGAGUGCGGCAGAGGGGGAUGGAAUUCCGCGUGUAGCAGUGAAAUGCGUAGAUAUGCGGAGGAACACCGAUGGCGAAGGCAAUCCCCUGGGCCUGCACUGACGCUCAUGCACGAAAGCGUGGGGAGCAAACAGGAUUAGAAACCCGGGUAGUCC